UACGUAGGGAGCAAGCGUUGUCCGGAAUCAUUGGGCGUAAAGCGCGCGUAGGUGGCCUCAUAAGUCCGCUGUGAAAGUCAAAGGCUCAACCUUUGAAAGCCGGUGGAUACUGUGGGGCUAGAGUACGGAAGAGGCGAGUGGAAUUCCUGGUGUAGCGGUGGAAUGCGCAGAUAUCAGGAGGAACACCAAUAGCGAAGGCAGCUCGCUGGGACGGUACUGACGCUGAGACGCGAAAGCGUGGGGAGCGAACAGG
rnacentral:rRNA from 1 species